UACGUAGGGGGCAAGCGUUGUCCGGAUUUAUUGGGCGUAAAGAGCGUGUAGGCGGCCAGGUAGGUCCGUUGUGAAAACUCGAGGCUCAACCUCGAGACGUCGGCGGAAACCCUCUGGCUAGAGUCCGGAAGAGGAGAGUGGAAUUCCUGGUGUAGUGGUGAAAUGCGCAGAUAUCAGGAAGAACACCCGUGGCGAAGGCGGCUCUCUGGGACGGUACUGACGCUGAGACGCGAAAGCGUGGGGAGCAAACAGG
rnacentral:rRNA from 1 species